GAAGACCAAUCUCUUUGAGAAUCACAAAACCCUAAUUUGGACCUCCACAUCCUCAGAUGAUUGCUGACCAGUCCAAUGAAACCCUAGCUUGCACAUGACCUCUUCAUCUUCUGAUCAAGACUUGUGAGGAUGAUUUGCAUAAUGUGACCACAUGAUAUGCAACAUGCAAUGCCUAAUGACCUAAAAAUGAUAUGCAAUAUGCUCAGCUAGUCCCAAGAGAGGAGGGCAAAUUUUGAGGUGUUACACACUCUGACUUUGCGUAGGUUCUCUGAGAAUUUCACUGGAUAUAUACAUAUACUAAGGCACGUUGUUUGAUUAUAGCACUGAGCCUUUAUAGCCAUCCCGUUAAUGUUAUCCCUUGUUAACCCUAUUUGAGCCUCUACCCUUUGUUUGUCUAACCACAUAAAUGUAACCCGCGACCCAAAACACUUCCUUACCCUGUUUGCAGUCAAUGUGAUGUCAUUAAGCUUUGUUAAAUUCUAAGUUUGGGGUAAACCCCAUAAGUAUCAAAAACCAAGGUGAUUACGAAAAAAAGAAGAAGAAGAAAAACAACCAUAAAAAAAUUGAGAAAAUGAAAUGUGGUCGAUGGUUCGAAAGAAGCACUCAACGAAGGAAGAGCACUUAGUUGAAACAAAAAAGAGAGAAUAUCAAAGAAAAACCGAGUAAUUGAAAAAGAAAAGAAUAAAACAUAGUGAAAAGAAUAUUAACAUUGUCUCUGAACCCAAAACCACUUGCUUUCCUUUUUGUUUGUAUUUACCACACCAUAACCCAAGCCUCGUUACAACCCGAAAGACCUUAAAAAGUGUGUGUUGUGUGUAGUUGAUACGAAAGGAGAAAAUAUUCAAACUUAUGAGUUGAUAUUGCAUAUUCUGAAUUGAGAGUGAAAACACUUUAACCCCGAGAGACUUGGUGAGAGUGUGAUGUAAGCUGACAGGUGAAGCGGUACCUCGAUGAGGAAGUCCGACAGAAAACUCAUUAGGAAAAGCAGGAACUAUACAAGGGAGAAUGAAGACGUUGACAAAAGAUCUCAGUAGUAUCAUGGUAAGAAUAUAAAUUUUGGGAAGUGACACUUUAUCGUAUAGGACAUUACUUGAGGACAAGCAAUGAGCUAAGUUUGGGGUUGUGAUCGGUCACCAUUUUCACUAUGUUUUUGUUGCUUAUCCGACAAGAAACCAAGGAUAUUGAGACACUGUGUAUGCAUUAAGGUACCUUUAAAGUUAAUUUUCAUUCUCGUUAGUUAUUUAAGCAAUUUUAUUAAUUGUCAGUUUUAUUUUGUGUUUUCGUGAUUUUAUGUUUUAGUUGUCGUGUUUAUGCCCUCCAGGUCCACAAAGAAGAUCCAAUGGGUUCAAUGUGAAAAAGUGGAAAGUUCCGACAUAUGAAAAAAGAAGAUUUCCUAGUUUAGGAGGCCUGACACGGGCACCCGUGUCACCUGACAUGGGCCUUGUCAGGAGGAAGUCCAAGAAAGAACAAGUAAUGCCCAAAACAGUGGUCUGACACGGUUGCCCGUGUCAGCUGACACUACCCGUGUCAGCCUAACACUGCCCCGUGUCAUCCUGACACUGCCUGUGUCAGCCUGACACUGCCCGUGUCAGUCGGACACUGCCAUUAUCAGCCGGACACUGCCAGUGUCAGCCUGGCACGACCAGUGUCAGCCUAAAAUGCUAAUUUUUAAGUUUUCAGGCUUUUUCACCGGGCUUAAGCUGUAGGGACGUUUUGGAGAUUUCCAGCUUCUGCCAAGGGAUUUUCACUAUAUUAUGACAGUUUCUACAAUAGAAAAGGGGGAUCUUGGAACGAGGCGAACACAUGAUUGUCAGAUGAUCAAGGAUUACAGAGAUCAAGGAAUUUGGAGAGCGGAAGAUUUUCAUGAGCGGAAGCGAUUGAAGAUCCAAGUCAUCUAAUUACUUGUAAUGUGUAUUUUUAUUCUUGAAUUUGUUUUGAACAAUAUGAGUAGUUAAACCCCUCCAUGCUAGGGGGUGUCCCUGAUUUAGAAUUGUAAUGACUUUGAGUUUACAAUUGCAUUUAUAAUAUUAUUCUUACGGUAACAUUUUGAUGUGUUUAAUGCUUUCUCUUUCGGACCAAUCGAGAUUGUUUUAUGGUUAUCAAUUAGGCUGGACCACCAUUGGUAAGGUUUUCAUAAGGUUACUCUGCAGUAGAUAUCACCUAGGACUAGGAUUUAAUGCUUUCUCUUUCGGACCAAUCGAGAUUGUUUUAUGGUUAUCAAUUAGGCUGGACCACCAUUGGUAAGGUUUUCAUAAGGUUACUCUGCAGUAGAUAUCACCUAGGACUAGGGAUACCCUGUGUGAAUUAGAGCAUUCUUGAUAUAAUAAAGCUUAACUUCACCCCAAUUUCCUAUGGACAUAGAAAUUAGGGUAGAAUGACUAAAAGUUUUCUCACCAAGGACUUGGGAGAAAAUACCCUUGAGAACUGAUAGUAAUUGAUAUUUGUUGAUGCAAUAGUGACUCAGAUUCAGAUUGUUACAGAGAUAAAUCAUACAUCUUCCAUGACAUUAUUCCUCAUACCUUGCAAACCCUUAUUUAUUAUUAUUAUUUUCAUUUGCCUUUAUUUUUGUAAGUUUGAUUUUUAAAAUCUCAAUUAUAAAUUUUGUUUAAUUGAACGAUAAAAAUUGAACUCAAUAUUAACUUGCAGUCCUUGAUAUCGACAUUCGGGGAAUUUCCCCUUUAUUGCUAUAACAUGCAAAAUAUUACACUUGCUAUUUUUCUGAUCAGUAUACAUCAUCCUGUGAACGUCUCUAUCAGUGUUAAUAUCCACCCAUACACGAACUUCUACAUUUUGGUUGAACGUAGACUCAAUCCAUUGAAUUCUUCUGAUUCUUUCACCCUUUGCAAUUUUUCAAUCUAACCAACGGCUCAACGUCCUAUUAAGAUGUUUGAACGUUUCUAUAUUCUAAAGUUUAUCUUUAUCGGAGGAUGCACUGCUGAAAAUAUUAAAUCGACAUUUCUUUUGUGAAUAUAUGAAUAUUCAGAUAUUUUAAAGAAAAGAAAAUUGAAGGAGAUUGAAGGAAAAUAGAAGGAGGGUAAGAAGUUGUGUGAAAAAUCAUGGGAGAUACACAUUGUAUUUAUAGAUCAACACAUACAUGCAUGCGACAUUGCCUUAAACGCCACACAUAGGGCACAUGCAUGCACCAAUGCAUGUGGCGUACACUCACAUGCCUACAUGCAUGUGUCAAUGCAUGUGAUGCCUUCACAUGCUUGGCUGCAUGCGCCAAUGACUUGGGCGUCUCCUUUGAAUGUUAAUUAGAUGCGACAGUUCAACAGGCGCAUCGACAAUGAAAGGUGGUUAUUUCGAUAAUUAAUUUGAAAAAUAGGUUAUUUUAGUAUUUAAAUUGAAAAAAAAUGGUUGUUUUAAAUUUUUUUGAAAAAGUAUAUUGUUGAUACAAAUAUUUUUAUAAAUGAUAAAAAUUCUAUUAUUGAUACAAUUAUUUUUAUAAAUGGAAAUAAAUUACAAAUAUUUUUAUUAACGAAAAAAGCCUACCUACUGUUGAUACAAAUAUUUUUGUAAACGGGAAUGAAUUACAAAUAUUUUUAUAAAAAAGAAAAAUUCUAUUGUUGAUACAAUUAUUUAACAAUUUUUACAUUUUCUUUUUAUUUUAUUUUAUGAUUCUUUGUAUUUAUACUAUACUAUAGUUUACAAUUUAGUUACUUCAUAUUAGCAAUUUUGACAAAUUCAAUAAUAUAAAACAAUGUUAUUUAAAUUAGUUCCUCUAUUUUAUUUUUAAACAAUUUUAGUCUCUCUUUUCUUUUUUUUAUUAAAAAUAUCUUGAUGUGUAACUUUUUAAAUAGGUGGCACAUAAUUUAAUUACUGAGGAUAUGUGGAUAAUUAAAAAUCUAUUGGUAUAAAAAAUUAAAAAACUAUCUUUAUCAUAUAACUCUAAUAUUUAACCUUAAUGGUUAAAUUAAAAAGAAGAAAUUGAAAAGAAAAAAAAAACAAAUAAAUUGGAAAAAUAUAGAAACUGAAAUUGGAGAUUCUCCUUUAAACAUUAUACCUGGUAGAAUGAAAAUCAUUAGUUCUUCCAUUCCAUUCACAUUCAUCAGCGUAGCAGCAAAGAAAAGUCAAAGAGUGAUAACAUUAAGGACAAACUUGUCCCAAUGGUGUUAAGAGAUCAACAUCAGCAAGAUCUUAACUAUGUAAAAUCCUCCUUCAAUCGUCGUAGACUCGUUGGCACCGCCAUCACAAAAUAUUCGCAAUCCAAAGAUAGACGAUAAUGAUUUAGAUCUGUCUUUCAUCUUUUCGUUGUUUCCCAUAUCUGGAUUUUCAUGUUCAUUUCUUACUCUAUUUUCUAUGAUCUUUGAAGCUUUCCACACCAAAUAAAUGAUGCUUUUUUCUGUUUAAAGUUUUCAAGAAGGGGAAGAAAGAGAUUUUAAUUAAAAGUGACUUGGGUUUUUUUAUGAUCUUAUAUAAGUGAUAUGAUAUUUAAAUUUAAAAAAUUUAUUCAUAUUUUUUUGUUAAUAAAAUUUCUAAUAUUGAAUGAUUAAAAAAGUAUUAAUUUAUCACAUAACGUUAAAACAUUAAGUACACUUAAUUCAAAUUAUAAUUCUCCAAUACAAAUUAAAUUAUAUAUUAAUAACAACGUUUAAAUCGUGAUAAAUUAUCUAACAAAACAAAUACAUAAAAUAACUUAUUAUUAAAUAUUAAUGGUCCAAAAUGUUUAAUAAAAUAAGUAAAUAAAACUAAAUAAAAUGAAUGAUUUAAAAUUUGAUAUAAAAAAAUAUAAUAGGAUACAUAAUAAUAUUAGAAGAAAAAUUUGAAUAUAAAUAAAUAGAAAAAGAAUUAUUAAAAAAACAAAAAAAAAGUGCAAUGAUUAUGAUUUAUAUUAAAUACAAAAAUUUGAAAAUAAUUUGAAGGUCGAGAAUGAUUAUAAUAAUAGAAGCAAUCGAGAAAAAUCACACACGGAGGAAUAUUUUAGUAAAUAUAAACGGAUGAUAUUUUAGUAAAUAUAAUAAUUUUUUAAAUAUCAAAAUUCAUAUUCUCUCAUCUCUCCUCCAAACCUUCCAAUUCGGAGGGAUGCAAAAAUUAUGUUUUUGAGGAUUUUAUUCCUCUCCCCUCCUAAAAUUUAAACCAAACAUAUUUUAUUAGAAAUUUUCCCACCCCUCCCCUCCAUCUAUCCCAAACCAAACACACCCUAAAAGAAAUAAAUGAUUUUGUUUGUUUUAUUCUAAUUUUUUUUUCCAUUUUUCUUUAGAGAGAUUAUGCACUGUUUAGACUUCGUUGGUUGUUUGAAUGAGUUUUAUAAUAUUAAUUAUUGGAGAAAUAUAUGUGAAUGAUUUUGUUUAUUUUGUUUUUAAUUGAUUUGAAUUUAUUUGAAUUUUCAUGGUUUUAUUCUUUACAAAUCAAGAUCAUGAAUAAGAUAUAAAUUUAUUCUAAUUUUAUAGAUAAUUUAUUUUCUAAAUUUAGUGUAGUGUUCUAUUUUUAUAAAUUAAUUAUUUUUGUUGUAGGAAUAAUAUGUUUUUAAUACUUUUUAUAAAAAAAAAAUUGUUUUCAUUAAUUAAUAUAAGAAAAUAAAUGACAUGUAAAAUAAGAGUAUAAACUAGCAAGAUCAAUGUCACUUAAAAUAUGUCACAUAUUAAAAAAAAUGUACACAUCAUCAAAUAUUUUAUUAGAAAAGAGAAAGGGGGACCAAAACGGUUAAAACUUAAAUGGAGGGACUGAUUUCGUGAAUCGAGUAUAAUAGAGGGCUAAAAAUGUAAUUUAGUCUUUUAUAAAUUUACAUAUCUCUUUAAUCUUCUCAAGCAUUUUUUUUACAUUCUAUUCAAUUUGUGUAUCUUUUAUAUGCAUUUCUUAAUCAUUAUUAUAUUAUAUUUAUUUAUUUACUUUUUAUAGCGAUGUUGCGGGUAAAUGACCACUUAAUUAUAUUUAUUAAAAUAUACCUUUUCGACGGACCGAAACUAUUUAAUUUAUAUAUUAUUUAUAUAUAUUUGUUAACCAUCACUAUAUUAUAUUUAUUUACUAUUUAUAAAGAUAUUGCGUGAUUCGUGCCCACGCACGGGUUGAUAAUUAUUUAAUUAUUUCAUUUAUUUUUUUACUAAAAUAUACAUUUUCGUCGGGUCGAGAUUAUUAAAUUUGUAUAUCUUUUAUAAUGGAUGUUUUUCAUCUCAUGACACUUAAGUUAAAGCAGUAUGACUGCGUGUCAACAUGUGUUGUAUUGCAUGGAGGUAUUCACCUUGCAACACUUGCGUGGAGAUAUUCAACUCGGAAUGUCUGACACAGACACAUCUUGUCAACAUAGACUCUGCAGGUGGCAACGUUCAAUUUUUUAUUUAAAAUCCAUUGUUUAAACCAUUUAGCUCCUCAACAAUGGAUCUCAUCUUUCUAAAAUCCAUUGUUUAAACCAUUUAGCUCCUCAACAAGAACAGCCACCAAUUGAGCAAUGAACGAAAUCAACAGACUUUCUAAAAUAAAUAAAUAUAAAAUAUAAAGAUAUAACUAAUAUAUAAAUAUAUAUAUAUAUAUAUAUUAUAUAUAUAAUAUAUCCAUAGAAAUAAGACUAAGAGAUGUUUAGUUACACAACACUCGGAAGACAUGUCAAUUAUCACCCAUUCUAUUCAAUAUCAUAAUGGCAUGUAUAAAAAUGCACAAUGUUCGAACAAGUGGACAAGUUUCAAAUAAUAAUGGGAAAAAUUCAUUGCCACCACUGCUAUUAUUUUUGAAUGAAGGGGACAUUUGUUACUAUAUAUAGUUAGUGUUGAUCACACUAUUGAAGAAGAUGGAUGGAAAUUUUAAGUAUCUCCAAUGAAUGAAAGUUAUGAACUCGUUGCUUUGAUUAGAGUUGCUUAGCAAGUCGUCGUGAAAAAAAACAUACUAACUUCCAAUAAUUCCUUUUUAUCUUCUUUCAAAAUUGAGAAGUAAGAGAAAAUAUGAUUGAAGUAAAAUUAUAACACAAUACUUUACUUUAAUUUUGAUUUCUGGUUAAGAACGACAUGCUUUAUUUUAUUGUAAGCUUCCUUAGGAUAGAUGAUGGAAGUGAUAGUACCUAUUAAACCUUUAAAUUAAUAUUUUGGUGGGAGAUGAUUAAUCGAUUUGGAUAUGUAGCUUAUUCAUAUUAGAACAAACAAUAAUUUAGAAAUAUUAUCAAGUCUGGGAUUAUCACUUUUCCAUAAUGAGAUAAUGUCUUUUUUGGUUAAAUGAUAUUCACCGGUGCGAAGCAUGUUCUGUCGAAACAACCCUAUUGUGAAGUGUCGAGGAGUUAGACGAAAAUCAUUUCGUGAAUAAACUCAAAACCAAUAAACAAAUACGAUUAGAAUUGUAUGCCACGACAAGCAGAAGCGCAAUGACAUAAGGGUGAGAAGAAACAUUCACCUCACCUGAAUAUCUGGAUGAACAUACAGUGACUUCAUUCGAUUCUACUUAAUCAUGAGACUAUAUAUUAAAUCAUGACUUUCUUUUCAGAAUAAAAAUAAACUCACUCAUCAAACUCAGUUUUUGACUUUGGGCAUCAUUUUCUAUUUAAACCUUUUUCAAAAAGGUACGCAUUACUUCCAUUCUACCUGAACGAAGCUUAAGCCUCCAGGCGUGAUCAUAAAAGUAAGUUUAAACGUCUACGAGUGUGAUCCAUGCACAUCCAAUCUAUUGCAAACAAACAAACACUUAAGUCACUCUCUCGAGCAUACCAAGAAGUUGAUUGUAGCGCGAACGUUAACACUGUUCAUUAAAAACAACUAACACAUCCUGUCUUGAGUUCCACAAACUGCGGAACUCUGAUUUCCUUAUUGCAUAAAUGAGGAUACGUAGGCACAAGUUCAAAUCCUUGGGCGAGUAUUUUUUUCUCUUUACCCUCGCGAGUAAUCUUUAGAUAGUAGCACCAUUCUUGCCAAAGAAAAAUUCAUAAUGGGUUUGAAUACAACAGACUGGAGAGAUGCAAUAUUUCCCUGCAUUACCGACUUCUUACCUUUUUUUCUCUCCCUUGAGUUUUUUUGAUGCUUUUCAUUUCCUUCGGGAAUAAUAAAGUUUGAUGACAACUCUGUUGCAUCUUCGAGCGUGCGAUACGUUCAGGUAUAUUUCGCGUUGCUUCAUCCUUACCUGGGUAACUACUAAAAACUUCUUCAAAAUGAGGAACAAAAUAAGAAACCAGACCUCCUUUCCUCUGCAACCUCAAGAAAAAGAGGAUAGUCCAUUGAUCCAUUUUGUCUAGUCCUGAUGGCUAACAUUAACAAAUGCAUUCGUUGCCGAUGUUUUAUUGUAGAAUGACAAAUAAGUUUUGAGAUUUUUAUAUAUUUUCAUCAUAUCUAUAUAAGUGAUCAAGAUUUUCUUCAUUUGUAGUUUCAAGUUCAAGUGAUCCUACAUGUUAAGAAUGUUUCUUUCAAACACGUUGAAAGAAUAUUCUUCAAUCAUAUUGAUAGAUGUUGGGAUAUAAUGCUGUUAUUAUGAUUUGUGUAUCACAUAUGUCUUUUCAACUUGAGAAAAAUAUAUGUCUUUCCACCUUAUGAUGUAUUUAAAAGGACAUCCAGUGAAGUAUAUUUUAUAUGAUAAGGAUAAAACGAAUUGUGAGUCAUAUACUAUAAAAUUAUUUGAAUAAAAUUGAGUAAAUUAUAAUAUCUUAACAUUAAUUAUUAUAAUAUUAUUCAUGAUAUAUUGAGAUAACCUUGAUUUAAACAUCAUUGAAGUGUAGUGGUAUUUCAAAUAUAUAAAAUUUAGAACAUCAAAAGAUAGUUAAAUCAUUUAACAAAAUUUCAAAUUUUCAAAGACCGAAAAUAAAAAUUAAUAUUGUGAUACUUCAGCUUUAGAUAUAAAAUGUUUGUAAAUAAUGAUAUCAUUCAUUUUAAUAAUUUAUUCAAAGAUAAUAUGAAGGGUUAACAUAGUGUAAAGCAUCAUGUGAUGUGUAUGUAUCAAAAUUAAUUAAAAUUAUAACGCCAUAAAGAGAUAGUAGAAGUCAUGUUACAAAAUUAAUUGCUUAAAUUCAACCGAAAAAAAAAUAAAUUGGAUACCGUCAACUUAAUAUAAAAUGUUUUGUUAAAUAAAUAUACAUUCAUUAUCACAAUGUUAAAUCAGAGUAUAAUAAACAUUAGGGACUCCGCCAACAGAGUACUUUCUUUGAUGCACGUUCAAGCAAGUUAUCUUGGGGAACGAAAGACCUAGCUCUCAAUUACGUACCAUUCUCAGUCAUCACAACACAUAAAGCAAAACAACGAAAGGACUUCCAACAACAGGACCAUAAGAAAAUAACCAGAAGCUUUCAUCUUCCUCUGAACAAGCAGGUAGAAAAAUUUUUCAAAUGAGGUUUGCAAAAAAAAAAAGGAUUGAACGUCAGAACACGUGUGACACCCCAGUUGUAGCACCAAAGGAGAAGAUCAUCUACAGCUGAUUGAUGACAAACACAGAUCACUGGCCGUAACGACCUCUGAGCACACGGUCGAUUCAAUCCACCAACUUAUGUUCUGUCUCUGGAAAAAGACACCAGUAGUACGAGCUAAGACAGAUCCUGUCAAGAGGUCGAUUAUCACAGUUAGACGGAGCUAUAUAACAAAGUUAAGAUUUGCCGUUCAACGAGGGGAGGAAAUAAUAGGUUGCUCUAACUUAGUUAUAUGUUAAAAAUGUCACAAGAGUGUGCCAUAAUGAAAUGAUGAUGUUUAUUGAUAGGUAGUGUGUGUAAUAUAGUUAAGCUUCCUGGUGAAUCUGGAAUUUCAUUUUAAUAUCUUGGGGUUAAGUAACAUUCGAGCAGCAUCAUAUUAUAAAAGAGGUGUAAAUAUUGUAUUAAGCAAAUAGUAGCCGUGAUGAUGCAUCUUUAUAGACCAUUGUGGUUGAUAUAGAAUUUGCUAUGUGCUCUAAUUCAUUGCCAUGUGAAACUCCGCAGGAAAAAGCAGCUGCUGAAACUGUGUCAAAUACAGCUUUCGUGCAAGGAGAUAUCACAACUAUAUAUGUUGAAAUCCAUUAUCGCAGUAUGUAGCAUACGCUUGUGCGGUUCGUCAGAGCAAAAUACUUUCAAAUCAAUGUGAACGAAUGUGUAGGAACUAAUAGAUAAAACGGAUAGGACUAUACAGUUAGACAGCUAUAUAUCCAAGGUGUUCGCGAAAGCCAAUUAGAAAGGUCUGGUCAAUGAGUGGUACUAAACAUUAAAUCCUCACUAGGAUAAAAGAAAUUUAGGAUUUCAAUAAAAUGAAUGACAUCUUACCAUCNGAGUUAGACUAAAAUCAUUUCGUGAAUAAACUCAAAACCAAUUAACAAAUACGAUUAGAAUUGUAUGCCACAAGUCUUAAGCAAUGGAUAAGGGGUGAGAAUGAAACAUUCCUAUCCUCACUCUGAAUAUCUUUGGGUAUGAGACGAAUGACUCAGUUACUCAUCGUAUUCACCUUCAUUCAUAGACUUUAAUAUGAUUCAAAUCAUGACUUUCUUUUCAGAAUAAAAAUAAACUCACCUCAUCAAACUCAGUUUUUACCUUUGGGCAUCAUUUUCUAUUUAAAACCUUUUUCAAAAAGGACGCAUUACUUCCAUUCUACCGUGAACGAAGCUUAAGCCUCCAUGCGUGAUCAUAAAAGUAAUGUUUAACUGCUAGAGUGUGAUCCAUGCGCAUCCAAUCUAUUGCAAACAAACAAACACUUAAGUCACUCAUGCUCGAGCAUACAAGAAAGUUGAUUGUAGCGCGAACGUUAACACUGUUCAUUAAAAACAACUAACACAUCCGUCUUAGUUCCACAAACUGCGGAACUCUGAUUUCCUUAUUGCAUAAAUGAGGAUACGUAGGCACAAGAGUUCAAAUCCUUGGCGAGUAUUUUUUUUUUCUCUUUACCCCUUCGCGAGUAAUCUUUAGAUAGUAACACCAUUCUUGCAAAGAAAAAUCAUAAUGGUUUCCGUUGAAUACAACAGAUGUGAGAGAUGCUAAUAUUUCCCCUUGCAUUACCGACUUCCUUACCUUUUUUCUCUUCCCUUGAGUUUUUUUCGAUGUUUUUCAUUUCCUUCGGGAAUAAAUAAAGUUUGAUGACAACUCUGUUGUAUCUUCGAGCGUGCGAUACGUUCAGGUNUGAUAAUACACUAUCAAAUGAGUUUAAACUGUCAAGGUUAAAGCUCACUAUUAUCAUUGAAUAAAUAAUUAUGAAUACAUCUAAUGUUAAGAAGUUUAAUUUAACUAUAUUUAUUAAAUAAUUUAUAGUAUAUAGACCCACAAUUCGACUUUAUCAUCUAUCAUAUAAAAAUAGUAUUCACUUGGAUGUCGCUUUUAAAUAGCACAUCUAAGGGUGGAAAAGAACAUAUAUUUUUCUCAAGGUUGAAAAGACCAUAUGUGAUACAACAAAUCAUAAAUAUAAUCUGCAUUCUAUCCCAACACUAUCAAUUAUGAUGACGAGACAAUAUUCCUUUCAAACGUGUUUUGAAAAGAAACAUUUCUUUCAACAUGUAGAUCACUUGAACUCUUGAAACUAGCAAAAUGAAGAAAAUCUUGAUCACUUUAUAUAGAUAUGAUGAAAAAAUAUAUAAAAAAUCUGCAAAACGUAUAUUAUUCAUUCUAGAACUCAAAAAUCGGAGCAACGAACAAAUUGGCAUGUUAAUGUUAGCAACAUAACGGAUAGACAAAAUGGAUCCAAUGGACUAUCCUCUUUUUUCUUGAGGUUGGCAGAGGAAAAGGGUGAGGUGGUUUCUUAUUUUUGUUCCUGCACUUUUUUGAAGGAAGUAUUAUUAGUAAGUACCGCAGGUAAGGAUGAAGCAACGCGAAAUAUACUGAAGCGUAUGGCGGGCACGCGUACGACAGAUAGUCCUGUUAUGGUGCUAACAUUAACAAUGCAAUUUUUCGUUGCCGAUUGUUUGAUGUUUAGAAUGAAAAUAACGUUUUGAGAUUUUUUAUAUAUUUUUCAUCAUAUCUAUAUAAGUGAUCAAGAUUUUCUUCAUUUUGUAGUUUCAAUGUUCAAGUGAUCCUACAUGUUGAAGAAAUGUUUCUUUCAAACACGUUGAAAGAAUAUUUCUUUCAAUCAUAUUGAUAGAUGUUGGGAUAUAAUGCAUAUUAUUUAUGAUUUGUGUAUCACAUAUGUCUUUUCAACUUGAAAGAAAAAUAUAUGUCUUUCCACCUUAGAUUGUAUUUUAAAAGGACAUCCAGUGAAUACUAUUUUUAUAUGAUAGAGUGAUAAACGAAUUGUGAGUCUAUAUACUAUAAAAUUAUUUAAUAAAAUAUAUUAAAUUAAUAUUUAACAUUAAUUAUUAUAAUUAAUUUAUUCAAAUGAUAAUAUUGAGGUUAACCUUGAGUUUAAACAUCAUUUGAUAGUGUAUUGUAUUUUUCAAAAUUAAUUAUAAAAUUUAUAACCCAUCAAAAGAUAGUCAUAAGCCACUUAACAAAAUAUUAUUUCAAAAUUAAUAUUUGUAAUACCUUCAACUUUUAGAUAUUAAAAUUAUUAGAUAUAGUGCCAAUGGUUACUGAGUAUGAUAUAAUUGAUUACUUUAAGGAAUUUUUCAAAAAAUAAUGAAUUGUUUUUGUUUAAAAUAAAUGAUAUUCAUUCAUUAUCACAAUGUUAAUAUUCAUCAUUAUAAUUAAACAUUAUGUGGCAACUCCGCCAACAGAGUACUUUCUUCUUGGGGCAAAAAAAAAUGACUUUACCAAACCAAAAAAUGAAAGAAGAAAGAGCCCUAGCUCUCUAAUUUACUGUUACCAUUUCCAGUUGCAUCAACAACACCAUAAGCCAAAUACAACGAGAUAAGGACUUCACCAACAACACCAUAAGGAAAAUACAACGAGAAGCUUCCAUCUUCCUUCUAGGAACCAAGCAAGGUAUAAUCAAUUUUUUUCAAAUGAUGUUUUGCAAAAUAAUAAAAGGAUUUGAGUCUGUCAGAACACCGUGUGACCACCCCAGUUGGUAGGCACCAACUGAGAACGAUCAUCUACAGCUUGGAUGAUGACCACAACAUGCAGAUCAUCUGGGCCGUUAAUCACGCUCUGAUCACACGGUCAUGAUUCAUCCACCAGACUUAUGUUCCUGUCUCCUUAGAAAUCAAGGACACAGUAGUACGAGCCUAUAGAACAGAUCCUGUUCAAGUAAGGUCGUAUUCAUCAGCAGUUAGACUGAGAUAUAUAAAAGUUUAAGAUUUUCUGGGCUUCAACGAUGUGGGAGUAAUAUAAUAGUUUUUGCUGUAACUAGUUUUAUUUAUGUUAAAAAUGUCACAAGAGUGGUGCAUAAUGAUGAUUUGAUGUUUAUUGUAUAUUGUUUAUGUUUGUGUAAUUAUAUUGAAAUCUUGGAAUUUCAAUUUUAUUAUUCAUUUGGGGUUUUGUAGAUCAUUUCUGAGCAGCAUUCUUAUUAUUAUAAAAUUAGGUGUAAAUAUUGUAUGUUUAUGCAAAUAUGUUAGUCCUGUGAUGAUUGCAUAACUUUAUAGACCAUUGUUGGUUUGAUUUAUAGAUGAUUGCUAUUUGCUCUAUUCAUUUGCCAUGUUAACAACUUCCAGGACAAAAGCAUGGGAGAUAUAAUUCUGCAUGCUGCUGAAACUUGUGUUCAAUACAGCUUCUCUGUUGCAAGGUGAGUACUUAUUCACAAGCUAUAUUUGUGUUGAAAUUCAAUUAUCGCUAGAUUAGUGUGAAGCCAUUACUUUGUGCUGUUUCUUGUCAUUAGCAUAAAAUAUCUUUUCAAAUCAAUGUUUGAACGAAUGUUGUAGGAUACUAUAUAGUAUAAACAUGUUAGAUUAGGACUUAUACAGUUAGAAGCCUAUAAUCCCAAAGAUUUGUUCCGCGAAAGGCUUCAGAUUUAGAAAAGGUAUGGUCAAGUGAGUGGGUAUCUAACAUUAAAAUCCCACAUCAUCUAAUGGAUAAAAGAAAUUAGGAUUUCAUAUAUAAAAUGAAAUGACAUCUACCUAUUGCACUCACGGAGCCGUGUGAUGAUGACAUAGCGAACUAUUCUUUCGCCUUUUACUAAAGAAUACCGUGUUAGCGUCACAAUUAGCGGCAUACGCUAGUUUUUGGAAGAGUCCUCUAUAUUGAGGGCUCUGCAAUUUUAGUUCAAUUUUCUCUCUAUACUAUUUAUUAUUCUGAAUUGAAAUGAAUACUGAUUCUUUAACAGCUGAAUUAUAAUGUUUCUGUUUCCUUGUUGCAUUAGAAGAAGCACAUGUUGGUUUUUGGGCUUGCCGGCGGCCGGGAUGGUGGAAAUUUGGCUCUCCGCCAUCCUAGAAGUGAGAACACAAGAUUGAGAACUUUUGUAUGAUGGCCUUUGAAAAUCCUUUCCUGUGAUUGGAUAAAACGUUUGAAAUCUUGAAAUGUUCAGCAGUCGCUCAGUUUGUAUACUCCUAUGUGCUUAACCAUUCUUGCAGGGUGUAUGUAUUUUUCUUUGAAAAGGUUAAAUGGAUCACCUUGUUGUUCAAUAAAGAGUACAGUUUGUUUUAUCUUUCAUUGGAAUUUGGUAUUUUUGUUUAUAAUGCUUGCAUAAUCUGCUGACCUGCGUUUGUACAAUAAGGUAAAGUCUCUCUCUUGCGAGGUGAGUUCUUAUUCAUGUGCUAUAUAUGUGUGCUCCUCUUCUAUUGUGAGGUGAGUUCUUAUUCAUGUGCUAUAUUUGCGUUGAAAUUCAAUUGUCGCUUGAUUGGGAUGCUUUAGUUAUUGAUUUCAGAUUCGUUCAUCUGUUUUGGCUUUCGUUUUGAAUUCCUAGAUAUAUUUUGCUUAUCAUUAUACUAUGUAUUAGGCUUUCAUUUUGAAUUCCCAAAUAUAUUUUGCUUAUCAUUAUGCUAUGUAUUUUGGUUGUAGACUUCAAGAUAUAAAAGGGUUCCCCAUGAUUGGCAUUUAGAAUUCUACUUAUUCUAGUUUCCAACUCGGAGGACAUUUUAGUUAUACCAACACUCGAAGGACAUUUUAGGUAUACACCUCAUUCCCAUUCGGUUCAGUUAAUUUUUCGUCGUAUGUUUGUAUUAUUAAUUGUUACCGAUAAUCAAUGGCUAGACACUCUACUCUGUCUUAGUUUGGUCUUGAAUAUUUUGUUACUCGUAUAUGAAAAAUCACCGUUGGAAAUGCAUUGAGGGACAAAAGAAAUCAAGUAGCUGGAUAAUUUACCGUUGUCUUUAGAAUGAACCGAUACAAUGUUAUCUAAGUCCCACAUCAGAAUUGUCAGAGUGAAUAGUACAAAACACGAGGUAUAAAACAUAAGUGUGUCAAUUACUCAUGAAAUUGGUUGAUAAUUAUUAGUUUCAUAUAAUAAAGAAAUAAAAUAGGUAACCCUUGUUAAUCAUGGUAUAAAGCAUAUUAAUCAUGGUAUAAAGCAUAUGGUGCAUGCAUGAUUUUCCUUUGAAUAUGGUAAGCUUGUCACAUGUCAACCCAACAUUGUGAAUUUGUUAAUAAGAAACAAAGUGACUAUUGAGGUUUACUAUACCAACACUCGGAGGACAUUUCAGUUAUACACCUCAUUCCCAUUUUAUUAUUAUUAUUAUCAUGGCAUGUAUAACAAAGCACCAUGUUUGGAACAAGUGUGACAAGCUUACAAAAUUUUAAGGAAAAUUCAUGUUGCUACCACAUGCUUACAUUGAUCAAGAGAGACUAGCUGUAUGUGCUGNCUUUCAUUUUGAAUUCCCAAAUAUAUUUUGCUUAUCAUUAUGCUAUGUAUUUUGGUUGUAGACUUCAAGAUAUAAAAGGGUUCCCCAUGAUUGGCAUUUAGAAUUCUACUUAUUCUAGUUUCCAACUGAGAAGGGCUAUAACUCUUCGGUCAAAUAGCUGGAUACGUUACCGUUGUCUUUAGAAUGAACCGAUACAAUGUUAUCUAAGUCCCACAUCAGAAUUGUCAGAGUGAAUAGUACGAUACACGAGGUAUAAAACAUAAGUGUGUCUCCAUUACUCAGGAAAUUGGUUGAUAAUUAUUAAUUUCAUAUAAUAAAGAAAUAAAAUAGGUAACCCUUGUUAAUCAUGGUAUAAAGCAUAUGGUACAUGCACGAUUUUCCUUUGAAUAUGGUAAGCUUGAGAUCUAUAUAAGUUAUAAACAAGGCAUUUGCUACAUGUUUUGACAAAAUAACUGAAUGAACAAUAUUUAAGUUGCUCUUGCUUUCAUAUCCAUGAUAAAUAUUGAAUAUGAGAUAUUAACCUUUCAAAUGAAGAACACAUGAUUUUUUUUCUGAGCAGCCAAACAAAGAAUUAGCAUAAUGCAUGGGAGGUACCUUGAUGUGACGAGGGAGAAGCAAAGUUUAGAUAUGAGCUCGGUUGAUGAAGGACAACCUGAUCGAAAAUGAACUGCUUUGCCUAGGUUAAUAUUACUUCAAUUUUCAAAUUCAAUUGUUUCUACUAUUUUUAGAUGUUAGAGUAAUUAGUUUUUUUUUAUAGAUUCAGCUUAAUUUCAUUGUUUGUGUUGAAUCAAAAUGUUAUUGACUUACUCUUUUUGCAUGGAAGUUAUGAUGUUGUGAUUGCAAAACAAACAAUUGUAUCCUUUUACCACCCUUACUUUUUGCAUUUUGGAACUUUGGAUGUUUUUGUCGAUGAUGGUUAUUAUUUUAUGAAUAUUUCUUUCCUUAAAUUCUAUAAAUCUGUAUUAUUUGUACAAUCGCCACUAGACUGUUCCUGAUGAAGAAUGGAGAAAAAUACUAGAGGACUUUACAACUAUAUUUAGUAUAAGCAAACACUCUUUACUUGAGUCUUUGACUUUUUACCUUCUUGAUGAUCAUUUAGAUGAAUAACAUCAAUUUAACUUCAAUAUAAUAUGUGUGAAUAUUUGAUUUUCUAUAUUUCGUGUUUUUGGACUUUAAUAUGUUGGGAAAUCAUGUUUGUAUUAGUUUAA
rnacentral:lncRNA from 1 species